rnacentral:rRNA from 1 species
AGAUUGAACGCUGGCGGCAUGCCUAACACAUGCAAGUCGAGCGGCAGCGCGGGGGCGACCCUGGCGGCGAGCGGCGGACGGGUGAGUAAGGCAUCGGAAUCUGCCCUGAUGUGGGGGAUAACGUAGGGAAACUUACGCUAAUACCGCAUACGACCGAGAGGUGAAAGGCGGGGGACCGAAAGGCCUCGCGCAGCAGGAUGAGCCGAUCGUCCGAUUAGCGUUGGGUUGGGUACGGGGUAAACCGGCCCACCGAAGGCGACGAGUCGGUAGCGUGGUCUGAGAGGAUGAUCACGCCACACGU